UCUUGGUGCAGUGAAUUUCAUUACAACAGCAAUUAAUAUACGAUCAGAAAGUAUAACUUUAGAUCAAACACCUUUAUUUGUAUGAUCUGUAGCUAUUACAGCAUUACUUCUCCUUCUUUCACUUCCAGUUUUAGCAGGAGCUAUUACUAUAUUAUUAACAGAUCGAAAUUUAAAUACAUCAUUCUUUGACCCUACAGGAGGGGGUGACCCAAUUCUAUAUCAACAUCUAUUUUGAUUCUUUGGACACCCAGAAGUUUAUAUUUUAAUUCUACCGGGGUUCGGAAUUAUUUCACAUAUUGUAUGUCAAGAAAGAGGAAAAAUUGAAUCAUUUGGAACAUUAGGUAUAAUUUAUGCUAUACUAUCAAUUGGACUAAUAGGAUUUAUUGUAUGAGCACAUCAUAUAUUUACAGUAGGAAUGGAUGUUGACACACGAGCAUAUUUUACAUCAGCAACAAUAAUUAUUGCUGUACCUACAGGAAUUAAGGUAUUUAGAUGAUUAGCUACAUUAUAUGGAACUAAAUUCAAGUUCAAUCCACCAUUAUUAUGAGCUCUAGGAUUUAUUUUCCUAUUUACAAUUGGUGGAUUAACAGGAUUAGUAUUAGCAAAUUCAUCACUUGAUAUUGUAUUACAUGAUACAUAUUAUGUAGUAGCCCACUUUCAUUAUGUAUUAUCUAUAGGAGCAGUAUUUGCAAUUAUAGGAGGUGUCAUUCAAUGAUAUCCACCAUUUACAGGAUUAACUAUAAAUAAUACAUGAUUAAAAAUCCAAUUUACAAUUAUAUUCAUUGGAGUAAAUUUAACAUUCUUUCCUCAACACUUCCUAGGAUUAGCAGGAAUACCUCGACGAUACUCUGACUACCCAGACGCAUAUACAUCAUGAAACGUAGUAUCAAGAAUUGGGUCUACAAUUUCUAUUGUAGGAAUCAUUAUAUUCAUUGUAAUUAUAUGAGAAAGAAUGAUUACAAACCGAGCAAUUAUAUUUAGAGCUAACAUAAGAAGAUCAACAGAAUGACUACAAAAUAACCCUCCUGCAGAACAUAGUUACUCAGAAUUACCAUUAAUCUCUAGAU